UCGAUGGGGAAUAACUUCGGGAAACCGAGGCUAAUACCGCAUAAUACCCACGGGUCAAAGGAGCAAUUCGCUUGAGGACGGAGGUCGCGGCCCGAUUAGUUAGUUGGCGGGGUAAUGGCCCCGACCAAGACGGUGAUCGGUAUCCGGCCUGAGAGGGCGCACGGACACACUGGAACUGAAACACGGUCCAGACUCCUACGGGAGGCAGCAGUGGGGAAUUUUGCGCAAUGGGGGAAACCCUGACGCAGCAACGACCGCGUGGAGGAUGAAGUCUCUUGGGACGUAAACUCCUUUCGAUCGGGACGAUUAUGACGGUACCGGAAGAAGAAGCCCCGGCUAACUUCGUG
rnacentral:rRNA from 1 species